rnacentral:rRNA from 1 species
UGAAUACGAGAUGCUACGGCGUCGAAGCAGUCUAUGUCAUACUUCCAAGAAAAGCUUGCACUGUCAUAAACAAAUAAUGCCUGUACCAUAACCGACACAGGUGGGUAGGUAGAGUAUACUAAGGGGCGCGAGAUAACUCUCUCUAAGGAACUCGGCAAAAUGACUCCGUAACUUCGGGAGAAGGAGUGCCUUAUUUAUAAGGUUGCAAUAACAAGAUCCAAGCAACUGUUUACCAAAAACACAGGUCUCCGCUAAGUCGUAAGACGAUGUAUGGGGGCUGACGCCUGCCCAGUGCCAGAAGGUUAAAGAAGUUGGUUAGCAUCCGCGAAGCUGAUAACUGAAGCCCUGGUGAACGGCGGCCGUAACGAUAACGGUCCUAAGGUAGCGAAAUUCCUUGUCGGGUAAGUUCCGACCCGCACGAAAGGCGUAAUGAUUUGGAUACUGUCUCGGAGAGGGGCUCGGUGAAAUAGACUUGUCUGUGAAGAUGCGGACUACCUGCACCAGGACAGAAAGACCCUAUGAAGCUUUACUGUAACCUGAAAUUGAAAUUGGACUUUACUUGCGCAGUAUAGGUGGGAGGCGUUGAGAAUAUUCUUGCGGGAUUAUUGGAGCCAUCAGUGAGAUACCACUCUUGUAAUGUUAGAUUUCUAACUUUGUAUCAUUAUCUGGUCAAAGAACAGUUUCAGGCGGGCAGUUUGACUGGGGCGGUCGCCUCCUAAACGGUAACGGAGGCGCACAAAGGUUUCCUCUGAACGGGUAGAAAUCGUAUCUAGAGUGUAAAGGCAUAAGGAAGCUUGACUGUGAGACCUACAAGUCGAGCAGGGACGAAAGUCGGUCUUAGUGAUCUGACGGUGCUGAGUGGAAAGGCCGUCACUCAACGGAUAAAAGUUACUCUAAGGAUAACAGGCUGAUCUCCCCCAAGAGUUCACAUCGACGGGGAGGUUUGGCACCUCGAUGUCGGCUCAUCGCAUCCUGGGGCGGUAGUACGCCCCAAGGGUUGGGCUGUUCGCCCAUGAAAGCGGUACGCGAGCUGGGUUCAGAACGUCGUGAGACAGUUCGGUCCAUAUCCGGUGUAGGCGUUAGAAUAUUGAGAGGAGCCUUCUUUAGUACGAGAGGACCGAGAAGGACAUACCUCUGGUGUACCAGUUAUCGUGCCAACGGUAAACGCUGGGUAGCUAUGUGUGGAGUGGAUAACCGCUGAAAGCAUCUAAGUGGGAAGCCCACCUCAAGAUAAGUAUUCUC